rnacentral:tRNA from 1 species
CUGUAAAAAGUUCUUUAAACA